UCAAACUUGGUCAUUUAGAGGAAGUAAAAGUCGUAACAAGGUUUCCGUAGGUGAACCUGCGGAAGGAUCAUUAUUGAAUGUUUGAAGUAGUUGAGCUGGUCUUCACGGACAUGUGCUUGCUUGCUUCUAUUCAUCCUAUCCACCUGUGCACUUAUUGUAGAGCUUUGAAGAAUGUCUUUGUUAACUCAAGGAUUAGUAUUCUAGUUCUAUGUAUCUACAAACUCUAUGAAUGUCUAGAAUGUCUUUUAUUGGGACUUCAUUGACCCUUUAAACUUUAUACAACUUUCAGCAACGGAUCUCUUGGCUCUCGCAUCGAUGAAGAACGCAGC
rnacentral:misc_RNA from 1 species